CCUACGGGCGGCAGCAGUGAGGAAUAUUGGUCAAUGGGCGGGAGCCUGAACCAACCAAGUCGCGUGAGGGAAGACGGUCCUAUGGAUUGUAAACCUCUUUAGGCGGGGAGCAAUGCCGGGCACGCGUGCCCGGCGGGAGAGUACCCGCAGAAUAAGCCUCGGCUAACUCCGUGACAGCAGCCGCGGUUAUACGGAGGACGCGAGCGUUAUCCGGAUUUAGUGGGUUUAAGGUGUGCGUAGGCGGAUUUUUAAGUCAGCGGUAAAAUGUCCGGGCUCAACCCGGGCCGGCCGUUGAAACUGGGGAGCUGGAGUGGGCGAGAAGUAGGCGGAAUGCGUGGUGUAGCGGUGAAAUGCAUAGAUAUCACGCAGAACUCCGAUUGCGAAGGCAGCAUACCGGCGCCCGACUGACGCUGAGGCACGAAAGCGUGGGGAUCGAACAGGAUUAGAUACCCUGGUAGUC
rnacentral:rRNA from 1 species